CGCAUGCGCCGGCCGCCGCCUCCCGCCGGCCUCCGCAGCACGCCCCGCGAGCUGGCCGCCACCCCAAGCCACGCGAGCGCCUGCAGCUCGCAGCCGUCCUCGCACGCCGCCGGUUGUCCUCGGCUCCGCCGCCAGGAGAGCGCAGGGGAAUGGGGAGCGCCCCCACGAGCCGGCCGCCGCCGGCCGCGCGCCGCGGGGUCUCGCCCGCCGCCAGCCUGAGCUCCGGUCGCCUGCUCUCGGCUUGCUGCCGCCGGAUCCGACCGGCGCAGGAGAGAGAGAGGGAGAGAGAGAGAGAGUGUGGGGAGGGACGGAACGAAGGGAGAGGCACAGGGCAGCACGGCGCCGCGCGGCCGCGCGCACACCUGCCCUCCCAUCCCCUCCUUCCUCACCGCGCCGCGCCGCGCCUCCCCUCCCUUCCAUCCGCGGCGCGCCGUGCCUCCCCUAACCCUAACCCUAGCUCCUCCACCGCCGCCGUCCGGCCCGCCCUCCUCUUGGGCUCCGCGGCCUUGCCCGUGGGCUCGCCGUGCCGUGCUGCUCCACCCUCCCCUUGGCCUCCGCGCGCCGUCGUCCAUAACCUACGCGCCGGCACUCCGAGCCGGGGCACCGCCACUGCUCCCGUCUGCGGGAGACUCCGAGCCACGGCGCCGCCGCUCCCAUCUGAGGCAGGGACGGGCCGCCCAGGGCGCUGCCUCCGCUCCCGCCCGUGGGUGGGAGGGGCCGACCCGGCGCGCCGCCGCCGCUCGCUGCUCGGUGUCCGGGCCUCACCACAAGCGGGGCGGCGCAUGCGCGGUGGCCCUCCCUGGAUGGGGCAGCUCGCGUCACAGCCGGAAGGCAGAUUAGACAGAUCCGGUGAGUGCAGGCUGGACCUAAGGCUGCAACAGAGGAGAACGGCGAUGAGCUGGGCGGCGCUCUUCCUCCUUUGCUCCACUUAUCGGCGCCACUCCAUCGUCAGCUCCUUCGGAUUCAGGAACCUCAAUUGAGCAGUCCAGCCUCGAUCUUGGUUCACAGUCCUCCACUCCCGUGGAUCCAAGACCUGUACAUUGCCCAGCCCAAGGUUAUUGCAACGGAGACAAGAAUACAAGAAAAUUAGCGCAGGUAGCAAGGGGUUGCCCCGGUCAACAGAUCAUGAUCUACACCCAGGUGAGCACAACUACCAUUGUAAUUUUCAGAGGGUGGCUUCCAAUUGCUACUAACUACCUGCACGAUGGUAUACAUAAUUCCAGAUUAUUUUACUCCAGAUCAAACUAUGUGUUCUCUCUCUCUCCGUCUGGUAUGUACUUUCAGCUUAAAUGACUACAUGGUAUUGUUGCUUUGCUUAGAAAUAGAAGAUUUAUGGAAAUCAUAACCUGUAAAGAGUGCUUUUUAUAGCUUUUCUUUUAAAAAACUAUGGCCUAAUCAAAUUAUGUUAUGAUUUUGCUGUAUAAGGUCAAGUACUACAGCAUGCUACUGAUAAAAAAUGGAAAAGUGGUAUAUAUGUUCAGCCAACUCUCUUCUCUGCAUGCAAUAUAAUGGCUUGGUGCAGACCAGAGCAACUGUUGCAAUACAAGUGGGUGGGAUUUGAGCUUUAGCGUAAAAACUUGGGAAUUAUAUUUGUGAAAAUUAUGUUUGUAUCUAUGAAAAUUACUCUUAACUACUGUUACAUGUUUUCCCUUCAAAAUUAGGCCUAUAAUGGAUUUGAUAGACAUCACAAUUUCUCGACAGUUACAUGAGCUGAUCCUAUCAAUCGAUUUGUCUUUCAUUUCCAUAUUUGGCAUAUUGUAUUUAUGCUAUUCUUUUCUGACAUCUAAGUUAUAGUAAUGGCUUUGUGGCUUUAUGUCUUGCUUGGUACAGCUUUCCUGCUGCACUCCUAGGUGUAUGUAAGGUUGCUGUCUGGUGAUUCUUUUGGUUGCCUUAAUUUCUUUUGCUUCGCCUCUGUACCAUUGCAGUAUGAUAUCCUUGGCUGUUGCUUUGUGUCACAGAAUCUCAAUUUUGAUCUUUUUUUCCAUCCAUUUCCACAAGACUAAUGGAAAGCAUGCUGAGAGUUCUCAACA